rnacentral:rRNA from 1 species
GAUGAAACGCUGGCGGCGUGCUUAACACAUGCAAGUCGAACGAAGCGCCUUGGACAGAUUCUUCGGAUGAAGUUUUUGGUGACUGAGUGGCGGACGGGUGAGUAACGCGUGGGUAACCUGCCUCAUACAGGGGGAUAACAGUUAGAAAUGGCUGCUAAUACCGCAUAAGCGCACGGUACUGCAUGGUACAGUGUGAAAAAACUCCGGUGGUAUGAGAUGGACCCGCGUUGGA